UUAGCCAUGCAUGUAUAAGUAUAAACGCUUUAAGCGUGAAACUGCGUACGGCUCAUUACAACAGCAAUAAUUUACUUGAUCUUGACAACCUACAUGGAUAACUGUGGUAAUUCUAGAGCUAAUACAUGCACCAAAGCUCCGACCCGCGAGGGGAGAGCGCAUUUAUUAGAACAAAACCAAGCGGCUUCGGCCGUCCAUUGUUGACUCAGAAUAACUAAGCUGAUCGUACGGUCUUGUACCGACGACGUGUCUUUCAAGUUUCUGCCUUAUCAACUUUCGAUGGUAGUGUAUCUGACUACCAUGGUGGUGACGGGUAACGGAGGAUAAGGGUUCGACUCCGGAGAAGGGGCCUGAGAAAUGGCCACUACGUCUAAGGAUGGCAGCAGGCGCGCAAAUUACCCACUCUCAAUGCGAGGAGGUAGUGACGAGAAAUAACGAGGCCGUUCUCUUUGAGGCCGGUCAUCGGAAUGGGUACAAUUUAAACCCUUUAACGAGUAUCUAUGAGAGGGCAAGUCUGGUGCCAGCAGCCGCGGUAAUUCCAGCUCUCAAAAUGCAUAGAAUUAUUGCUGCGGUUAAAAAGCUCGUAGUUGGAUCUGUGCCUGUGCUCUGGUCCACCUCGCGGUGCGCACUGGGUGUCACAGGCUUUCCUGCAGUGUUCAGCCCCGGCGCCUUCACCGGCACCGGUGUGUUGAUGCUGCAAGUUUACUUUGAACAAAUCGGAGUGCUCCAAACAGGCGUUUGCUUGAACGUUCGUGCAUGGAAUAAUAGAAGAGGAUUUCGGUUCAAUUUUAUUGGUUUUAUUGGCCGAGAUAAUGGUUAACAGAGACAAACGGGGGCAUUUGUAUUGCUGCGUGAGAGGUGAAAUUCUUGGACCGUAGCAAGACAAACUACCGCGAAAGCAUUUGCCAAGAAUGUCUUCAUUAAUCAAGAACGAAAGUCAGAGUUCGAAGGCGAUCAGAUACCGCCCUAGUCUUGGAACGCGUAAAAAA
rnacentral:rRNA from 1 species